UACGUAGGGUGCGAGCGUUGUCCGGAAUUAUUGGGCGUAAAGAGCUCGUAGGCGGUGUGUCACGUCGGCCGUGAAAACCUGCAGCUUAACUGUGGGCGUGCGGUCGAUACGGGCAUCACUGGAGUUCGGCAGGGGAGACUGGAAUUCCUGGUGUAGCGGUGAAAUGCGCAGAUAUCAGGAGGAACACCGGUGGCGAAGGCGGUUCUCUGGGCCGUAACUGACGCUGAGGAGCGAAAGCAUGGGGAGCGAACAGG
rnacentral:rRNA from 1 species